CAGUCGCCGCGGUAAUACGGAGGGGGCUAGCGUUGUUCGGAACUACUGGGCGUAAAGCGCACGUAGGCGGCUUGGUAAGUUAGAGGUGAAAGCCCGGAGCUCAACUCCGGAAUUGCCUUUAAGACUGCCGAGCUAGUAGGUGAGAGAGGUAAGUGGAAUUCCGAGUGUAGAGGUGAAAUUCGUAGAUAUUCGGAAGAACACCAGUGGCGAAGGCGGCUUACUGGCUCAUUCUAGACGCUGAGGUGCGAAAGCGUGGGGAGCAAACGGGAUUAGAUACCCCGGUAGUCCCUGUCUCUUAUAA
rnacentral:rRNA from 1 species